UACGAAGGGGGCUAGCGUUGCUCGGAAUCACUGGGCGUAACGGGUGCGUAGGCGGUUCUUUAAGUCAGGGGUGAAAUCCUGGAGCUCAACUCCAGAACUGCCUUUGAUACUGAAGAUCUUGAGUUCGGGAGAGGUGAGUGGAACUGCGAGUGUAGAGGUGAAAUUCGUAGAUAUUGGGAAGAACACCGGUAGCGAAGGCGGCGCUCUGGACCGAGACUGACGCUGAGGCGCGAAAGCGUGGGGAGCAAACAGG
rnacentral:rRNA from 1 species